rnacentral:rRNA from 1 species
UGAACGCUGGCGGCGUGCUUAACACAUGCAAGUCGAACGGUGAAGGAGAGCUUGCUCUCCGGAUCAGUGGCGAACGGGUGAGUAACACGUGAGCAAUCUGCCCCUGACUCUGGGAUAACAGUUGGAAAUAGCUGCUAAUACCGGAUACGAGCUGCGAAGGCAUCUUCAGCAGCUGGAAAGAACUUCGGUCAGGGAUGAGCUCGCGGCCUAUCAGCUAGUUGGUGAGGUAAUGGCUCACCAAGGCGUCGACGGGUAGCCGGCCUGAGAGGGUGACCGGCCACACUGGGACUGAGACACGGCCCAGACUCCUACGGGAGGCAGCAGUGGGGAAUAUUGCACAAUGGGCGCAAGCCUGAUGCAGCAACGCCGCGUGAGGGACGACGGCCUUCGGGUUGUAAACCUCUUUUAGCAAGGAAGAAGCGAAAGUGACGGUACUUGCAGAAAAAGCGCCGGCUAACUACGU